GGAAGAGAAGGCUUGUGCCAGCCGGGAGAAGGAAGCCGGGGACAGGAUGAAAGCAACAACACCUUUGCAGACAGUCGACCGGCCGAAGGACUGGUACAAGACGAUGUUUAAGCAAAUUCACAUGGUGCACAAGCCGGGUCUGUACAACCCACCCUACAGUGCUCAGUCACACCCUGCUGCAAAGACCCAAACCUACAGACCUCUUUCCAAAAGCCACUCCGACAACAGCACCAAUGCCUUUAAGGAUGCGUCCUCCCCAGUGCCUCCCCUACAUGUUCCACCUCCAGUCCCACCGCUUCGACCAAGAGAUCGGUCUUCAACAGAAAAGCAUGACUGGGACCCUCCAGACAGAAAAGUGGACACAAGAAAAUUUCGGUCUGAGCCAAGGAGUAUUUUUGAAUAUGAACCUGGCCUCCUUGUAUCAGUCCUCUAUAGACAGAAGCCUGGAAAGACCCAUGAGCUCUGCAAGCAUGGCCAGUGACUUCAGGAAGCGGAGGAAGAGCGAGCCUGCAGUGGGUCCACCACGGGGCUUGGGAGAUCAAAGUGUGAGCAGGAC
rnacentral:sRNA from 1 species